rnacentral:rRNA from 1 species
GCGGGGAAUAUUGGACAAUGGGCGAAAGCCUGAUCCAGCAAUGCCGCGUGAGUGAAGAAGGCCUUCGGGUUGUAAAGCUCUUUUACCCGGGAAGAUAAUGACUGUACCGGGAGAAUAAGCCCCGGCUAACUCCGUGCCAGCAGCCGCGGUAAUACGGAGGGGGCUAGCGUUGUUCGGAAUUACUGGGCGUAAAGCGCACGUAGGCGGUCUUUUAAGUCAGAGGUGAAAGCCCGGGGCUCAACUCCGGAAUUGCCUUUGAAACUGGAAGACUUGAACACGGGAGAGGUGAGUGGAAUUCCGAGUGUAGAGGUGAAAUUCGUAGAUAUUCGGAGGAACACCAGUGGCGAAGGCGGCUCACUGGACCGUUGUUGACGCUGAGGUGCGAAAGCGUGGGGAGCAAACAGGAUUAGAAACCCGGGUAGUCC